CUACUUGGUGGUUAAGAGGCAACCGAAAGGUUUAGCCUAGUGAGCGUUGAGGCUUGCAACACUGUCAAAUUGCGGGGACGUCCUAAAGCUUUUGCGACCAAGCAUUAAUGGAAACAUUGGUGUGGCCGAGUUAAUAGCCCUGGGUAUGGUAAAACUGCAAAAGAUGUUACAAUGGAUAAUCCGCAGCCAAGUCCUAAGGACUCCUCUAUUUUUGGGGGUCUAUGGAUGCAGUUCACAGACUAAAUGGCAGUGGGUGUGUAUUGAGCUGGGAUUACUAGUUCUACAUGCUUAAGAUAUAGUCGGUCCCGCCGUGAAAACGGACU
rnacentral:ncRNA from 1 species